rnacentral:lncRNA from 1 species
AUCUAACCAUUCUUUGUUCCUAUUUUAACACACCUAACAUUCAACGGAACUGUAUUGCUUUCUUCUCUCAAUGGAAGGCGUUUCUUUGAAACUUUUGCAACUUCAAGGUCUGCUUUCUUUUAUAUAUAUAUUCGGCUUUAUACUAAUUUUUUAAUUUUAAAUUAGAAUAGUGAAAAUUGACUACUCUAGUUAGUUUUGUGGGAUACAGAGGAAGUACAAAAUGAAUAAGGCAAAGCUCUUAUUGGCAGUUUCUAAACUUCAAGGUUUUCUUGCUUUCUUUCUUUUCCAUACGUUCUGCUUACUAUAAGUUUCUAAUUAAAAAUAGUGAAAGUUGACUUUUUUUUUAAAUUUAUUUAUGCAGAUGAAGCACAAGAUAAAAAGGUGUAUCGCAAUGAGAAUGAUUGAUAGUAACGAGGCAAGUCAUGAAGGGAUAAACUUAACACAAGACUCUCGGUGUAUUUGCUUUUCCUUUUCCCUUUUUGUGUAUGGUCAUCUCAUAUUGGUUUAAAUUGAUCGUGUUUUUAUGUAAUAAAAAGAAGAAACUGUAUUUUCUGGAUUUGACGUGGUGCAGAGAGCAAUAGU